rnacentral:rRNA from 1 species
AUUGAACGCUGGCGGCAGGCUUAACACAUGCAAGUCGAGCGGGGUGAUGGUGCUUGCACUAUCACUUAGCGGCGGACGGGUGAGUAAUGCUUAGGAAUCUGCCUAUUAGUGGGGGACAACAUCUCGAAAGGGAUGCUAAUACCGCAUACGUCCUACGGGAGAAAGCAGGGGAUCACUUGUGACCUUGCGCUAAUAGAUGAGCCUAAGUCGGAUUAGCUAGUUGGUGGGGUAAAGACCUACCAAGGCGACGAUCUGUAGCGGGUCUGAGAGGAUGAUCCGCCACACUGGGACGGAGACACGGCCCAGACUCCUACGGGAGGCAGCAGUGGGGAAUAUUGGACAAUGGGGGAACCCUGAUCCAGCCAUGCCGCGUGUGUGAAGAAGGCCUUAUGGUUGUAAAGCACUUUAAGCGAGGAGGAGGCUCUUUUGGUUAAUACCCAAGAUGAGUGGACGUUACUCGCAGAAUAAGCACCGGCUAACUCUGUGCCAGCCGCCGCGGUAA